GCCUUCGUCUCAUGGCUCUGCUCUCCUCCCAUCAUCACAGUCACCAACACAGCAAGUCACACCUGAGCAACAACACACAGUGUGCCAGUAAACACAAACAAGAAGACGAAGAAGGAAAACCUCACUUGGAUUGGUCGAGAAGAUGCAGUGAGGACAUGCUACACUACUUAGGACAGUGAAGCAUGACAGAAGGAUGGGAGAGAGAGAGCAAGUAAGACAUGCAGCAAAGAACAAAGGCUGGAUUCCAACCCACACAGCUGCAAUAAGGGCUAGCUGCACCUUUCCCAUGUGAACUACCAGUGCGCCCCACUUUUAAGUCAAUACAACAUAUAAACCCUUU